AACGUUUGCUGGAACAGCUCCCGGAACUGUGGAAAACACUUUACUUAGGUUUUACCAGUGUUCAUGGAACAAGGAGGCCAUUACACAGAAUUGGCUCUAAAGCCUUGGCGGCUUUAGUUUCUGGUGACCAGGAUGAGACUUGCUGGGAUACCCCACUCACUCUGGAGCCUGAAGGCAGCAUCCUUGGAAAACUGGCAGAAGACAGCAAAGGGUUUCCUCCUCGAGCCAGAGAGCCGCCUGUAUUUCCCUCUCCACCCCCCCCCCCCCCGGGCCUGCGUCUGAUAGACCCUGUCGUGCUGAACUGAACGGAUCCCUCUGCGUCUGACUCACCAGUGGAGUCGGGG